rnacentral:rRNA from 1 species
GAUGAACGCUAGCGGCAGGCCUAACACAUGCAAGUCGAGGGAGAGGUUACCUUCGGGUAACCAAGACCGGCGCACGGGUGCGUAACGCGUAUACAAUCUGCCUUUCACAUAGGGAUAGCCCGAAGAAAUUUGGAUUAAUACCUAAUGGUAUAUAGGAGCGGCAUCGUUUUUAUAUUAAAGCUACGGUGGUGAAAGAUGAGUAUGCGUUCUAUUAGCUAGUUGGAGAGGUAACGGCUCCCCAAGGCGACGAUAGAUAGGGGUUCUGAGAGGGAUGUCCCCCACACUGGUACUGAGAUACGGACCAGACUCCUACGGGAGGCAGCAGUGAGGAAUAUUGGACAAUGGUCGGAAGACUGAUCCAGCCAUGCCGCGUGCAGGAUGAAGGUCCUAUGGAUUGUAAACUGCUUUUGUAAGGGAAGAAUAAGGAGUACGUGUACUUUGAUGACGGUACCUUACGAAUAAGCAUCGGCUAACUCCGUGCCAGCAGCCGCGGUAAUACGGAGGAUGCGAGCGUUAUCCGGAAUCAUUGGGUUUAAAGGGUCCGUAGGCGGGCUGAUAAGUCAGAGGUGAAAGCGCUUAGCUCAACUAAGCAACUGCCUUUGAAACUGUCGGUCUUGAACGAUUGUGAAGUAGUUGGAAUGUGUAGUGUAGCGGUGAAAUGCUUAGAUAUUACACAGAACACCGAUAGCGAAGGCAUAUUACUAACAAUUUAUUGACGCUGAUGGACGAAAGCGUGGGGAGCGAACAGG